rnacentral:rRNA from 2 species
GGUUAAGCGACUAAGCGUACACGGUGGAUGCCUAGGCAAUCAGAGGCGAUGAAGGACGUGCUAAUCUGCGAAAAGCGUCGGUAAGGUGAUAUGAACCGUUAUAACCGACGAUGUCCGAAUGGGGAAACCCAGUGCAAUUCGUUGCACUAUCGUUUGAUGAAUCCAUAGUCAAACGAGGCGAACCGGGGGAACUGAAACAUCUCAGUACCCCGAGGAAAAGAAAUCAACCGAGAUUCCCCUAGUAGCGGCGAGCGAACGGGGAGCAGCCCAGAGUCUUAAUCAGCAUCAGCAUCAGGAGAACGGUCUGGAAAGGCCGGCAAUAAAGGGUGAUAGCCCCGUAUCCGAAGGUGUUGGUGUUGUGAACUCGACGAGUAGGGCGGGACACGUGUUAUCCUGUCUGAAUAUGGGGGGACCAUCCUCCAAGGCUAAAUACUCCUGAUUGACCGAUAGUGAACCAGUACCGUGAGGGAAAGGCGAAAAGAACCCCGGCGAGGGGAGUGAAAUAGAACCUGAAACCGUGUACGUACAAGCAGUGGGAGCCUUGAUUUAUCAGGGUGACUGCGUACCUUUUGUAUAAUGGGUCAGCGACUUAUAUUCUGUAGCAAGGUUAACCGAAUAGGGGAGCCGUAGGGAAACCGAGUCUUAACUGGGCGAAUGAGUUGCAGGGUAUAGACCCGAAACCCGGUGAUCUAGCCAUGGGCAGGUUGAAGGUUGGGUAACACUAACUGGAGGACCGAACCGACUAAUGUUGAAAAAUUAGCGGAUGACUUGUGGCUGGGGGUGAAAGGCCAAUCAAACCGGGAGAUAGCUGGUUCUCCCCGAAAGCUAUUUAGGUAGCGCCUCGUGAACUCAUCUUCGGGGGUAGAGCACUGUUUCGGCUAGGGGGUCAUCCCGACUUACCAACCCGAUGCAAACUACGAAUACCGAAGAAUGUUAUCACGGGAGACACACGGCGGGUGCUAACGUUCGUCGUGAAGAGGGAAACAACCCAGACCGCCAGCUAAGGUCCCAAAGUCAUGGUUAAGUGGGAAACGAAGUGGGAAGGCUCAGACAGCCAGGAUGUUGGCUUAGAAGCAGCCAUCAUUUAAAGAAAGCGUAAUAGCUCACUGGUCGAGUCGGCCUGCGCGGAAGAUGUAACGGGGCUAAACCAUGCACCGAAGCUGCGGCAGCGACAUUUAGAUGUUGUUGGGUAGGGGAGCGUUCUGUAAGCCUGUGAAGGUGUGCUGCGAGGCAUGCUGGAGGUAUCAGAAGUGCGAAUGCUGACAUAAGUAACGAUAAUGCGGGUGAAAAACCCGCACGCCGGAAGACCAAGGGUUCCUGUCCAACGUUAAUCGGGGCAGGGUGAGUCGACCCCUAAGGCGAGGCAGAAAUGCGUAGUCGAUGGGAAACAGGUUAAUAUUCCUGUACUGGUGAUAAUUGCGAUGGGGGGACGGAGAAGGCUAGGCUGGCCGGGCGACGGUUGUCCCGGUUUAAGGAUGUAGGUGGGUGAAUUAGGCAAAUCCGGUUCGCUAUACACUGAGGUCUGAUGACGAGUCACUACGGUGGCGAAGUAGCUCAUGCCCCGCUUCCAGGAAAAGCCUCUAAGCUCUAGAUUAUCAUUAAUCGUACCCCAAACCGACACAGGUGGUCAGGUAGAGAAUACUCAGGCGCUUGAGAGAACUCGGGUGAAGGAACUAGGCAAAAUGGUGCCGUAACUUCGGGAGAAGGCACGCUGGCAUUAGGUGAAGUGGUUUACCCAUGGAGCUGAAGCCAGUCGCAGAUACCAGCUGGCUGCAACUGUUUAUUAAAAACACAGCACUGUGCAAACACGAAAGUGGACGUAUACGGUGUGACGCCUGCCCGGUGCUGGAAGGUUAAUUGAUGGGGUUAUCCGUAAGGAGAAGCUCUUGAUCGAAGCCCCAGUAAACGGCGGCCGUAACUAUAACGGUCCUAAGGUAGCGAAAUUCCUUGUCGGGUAAGUUCCGACCUGCACGAAUGGCGUAAUGAUGGCCAGGCUGUCUCCACCCGAGACUCAGUGAAAUUGAACUCGCUGUGAAGAUGCAGUGUACCCGCGGCAAGACGGAAAGACCCCGUGAACCUUUACUAUAGCUUGACACUGAACAUUGAGCCUUGAUGUGUAGGAUAGGUGGGAGGCUUUGAAGUGUGGACGCCAGUCUGCAUGGAGCCAACCUUGAAAUACCACCCUUUAAUGUUUGAUGUUCUAACGUUGCCCCAUAAUCUGGGGUGCGGACAGUGUCUGGUGGGUAGUUUGACUGGGGCGGUCUCCUCCCAAAGCGUAACGGAGGAGCACGAAGGUUGGCUAAGCAUGGUCGGACAUCAUGCGGUUAGUGCAAAGGCAUAAGCCAGCUUGACUGCGAGAGUGACGGCUCGAGCAGGUACGAAAGUAGGUCUUAGUGAUCCGGUGGUUCUGAAUGGAAGGGCCAUCGCUCAACGGAUAAAAGGUACUCCGGGGAUAACAGGCUGAUACCGCCCAAGAGUUCAUAUCGACGGCGGUGUUUGGCACCUCGAUGUCGGCUCAUCACAUCCUGGGGCUGAAGUAGGUCCCAAGGGUAUGGCUGUUCGCCAUUUAAAGUGGUACGCGAGCUGGGUUUAGAACGUCGUGAGACAGUUCGGUCCCUAUCUGCCGUGGGCGUUGGAAGAUUGAAAGGGGCUGCUCCUAGUACGAGAGGACCGGAGUGGACGCACCGCUGGUGUUCGGGUUGUCAUGCCAAUGGCACUGCCCGGUAGCUAAGUGCGGAAGAGAUAACCGCUGAAAGCAUCUAAGCGGGAAACUUGCCUUGAGAUGAGUCUUCCCUGACUCUUUAAGGGUCCUAAAGGAACGUUUAAGACGAAGACGUUGAUAGGCUGGGUGUGUAAGCGUAGCGAUACGUUGAGCUAACCAGUACUAAUGAACCGUGAGGCUUAACCU